rnacentral:rRNA from 1 species
UGGGGAAUUUUGGACAAUGGGCGAAAGCCUGAUCCAGCAAUGCCGCGUGUGUGAAGAAGGCCUUCGGGUUGUAAAGCACUUUUGUCCGGAAAGAAAUCCUUGGCUCUAAUACAGUCGGGGGAUGACGGUACCGGAAGAAUAAGCACCGGCUAACUACGUGCCAGCAGCCGCGGUAAUACGUAGGGUGCAAGCGUUAAUCGGAAUUACUGGGCGUAAAGCGUGCGCAGGCGGUUUGCUAAGACCGAUGUGAAAUCCCCGGGCUCAACCUGGGAACUGCAUUGGUGACUGGCAGGCUAGAGUAUGGCAGAGGGGGGUAGAAUUCCACGUGUAGCAGUGAAAUGCGUAGAGAUGUGGAGGAAUACCGAUGGCGAAGGCAGCCCCCUGGGCCAAUACUGACGCUCAUGCACGAAAGCGUGGGGAGCAAAACAGGAUUAGAUACCCUGGUAGUCCACGCCCUAAAACGAUGUCAACUAGUUGUUGGGGAUUCAUUUCCUUAGUAACGUAGCUAACGCGUGAAGUUGACCGCCUGGGGAGUACGGUCGCAAGAUUAAAACUUAAAUGAAUUGAC